rnacentral:rRNA from 1 species
AUCUUGCGCAAUGGGCGAAAGCCUGACGCAGCGACGCCGCGUGUGGGAGGAAGCCUUUCGGGGUGUAAACCACUGUUGCCCGGGACGAACCGCCUUAUUCGUAAGGCCUGACGGUACCGGGUGAGGAAGCACCGGCUAACUCUGUGCCAGCAGCCGCGGUAAUACAGAGGGUGCGAGCGUUGUCCGGAAUCACUGGGCGUAAAGGGCGCGUAGGUGGCGGGGUAAGCGUGCGGUGAAAGCUCGGGGCUCAACCCCGAGUCGGCCGUGCGAACUGCCUCGCUGGAGCACUGUAGAGGCGGGUGGAAUUCCGGGUGUAGCGGUGGAAUGCGUAGAGAUCCGGAAGAACACCGGUGGCGAAGGCGGCCCGCUGGGCAGUGGCUGACACUGAGGCGCGACAGCGUGGGGAGCAAAC